rnacentral:rRNA from 1 species
GAUGAACGCUGGCGGCGUGCCUAAUACAUGCAAGUCGAGCGAAUGGAUUAAGAGCUUGCCCUUAUGAAGUUAGCGGCGGACGGGUGAGUAACACGUGGGUAACCUGCCCAUAAGACUGGGAUAACUCCGGGAAACCGGGGCUAAUACCGGAUAACAUUUUGAACCGCAUGGUUCGAAAUUGAAAGGCGGAUUCGGCUGUCACUUAUGGAUGGACCCGCGUCGCAUUAGCUAGUUGGUGAGGUAACGGCUCACCAAGGCAACGAUGCGUAGCCGACCUGAGAGGGUGAUCGGCCACACUGGGACUGAGACACGGCCCAGACUCCUACGGGAGGCAGCAGUAGGGAAUCUUCCACAAUGGACGAAAGUCUGACGGAGCAACGCCGCGUGAGUGAUGAAGGCUUUCGGGUCGUAAAACUCUGUUGUUAGGGAAGAACAAGUGCUAGUUGAAUAAGCUGGCACCUUGACGGUACCUAACCAGAAAGCCACGGCUAACUACGUGCCAGCCGCCGCCGUAA